rnacentral:rRNA from 1 species
CCCUAGUUCGGAUUGCAGGCUGAAACUCGCCUGCAUGAAGCUGGAAUUGCUAGUAAUCAUAGGUCAGCAUACUAUGGUGAAUACGUUCCCGGGGCCUUGUACACACCGCCCGUCACACCAUGAGAGUUGAGAAUACCCGAAGUCCAUGUCAAAGUGGCCGAAGGUAGGCUUGAUGAUUGGGGUGAAGUCGUAACAAGGUAAC